AUUUUGAGAAAAAGCUUCGGCAGCACACUCCAGAAAAAAACUUCCCAAACCCUGGGCAACUGAGGUUCUGAUGUGGAGCUCUGGAUGGAAAGCGUGCUGAAGUCUUGUUAAACUAGCAAGCUUUUGUUUGGAGGUCCACCGCCGAAGGCGCACAGGCCUGUGGGAACACGAGCGUUGAGACUGGGGGCGUCUAGAUGAUCCAAGGGGUAGGCAGAGUGUGAGCAGCGGCAGGUAUCGGGGACACACCCGCGGAGCCCUAGGAAGGGGACUGACCGGGACAUGGAAGAGGUCUGGACCAGGCUCGGACCUCAGGCACAUGCGAAUGACCCGGAGUGUGGACAACGUCCAGUUCCUGCCCUUUCUCACCACGGAAGUCAACAACCUGGGCUGGCUGAGUUAUGGGGCUUUGAAGGGAGACGGGAUCCUCAUCGUCGUCAACACAGUGGGUGCUGCGCUUCAGACCCUGUAUAUCUUGGCAUAUCUGCAUUACUGCCCUCGGAAGCGUGUUGUGCUCCUACAGACUGCAACCCUGCUAGGG
rnacentral:lncRNA from 1 species